UUUAAAUAUUUUUGUCUCUAUUCUCCACUACACGCCCUUCGGGGAUUCCAUUUAGCCCUAUACUAGGGUGUUUAAAGUUUUUAUGCUGAUGGUCCUUUUAUGUUUUCAAGUCAUUUGUUACUGUGUGUUUCAUUUAUGUUUGAACUUCUUUUCCUUCUAGUUCAAUACUCUUCUCUUCUGCAAUGUUUAAUGCAGUGCCUUCUUCCAUUUCAGACUGUAAAUCAUAGUUUUUUAUCUACAGAAUUUGAUAUUUAAAAAAUCUUCAACCUCUCUAUUUAAUUAAAAUACAAUUAUAACUGCUCUAAUGUCCUUUUCUGCUAUUUCCAACAUGUGUGUCAAUUUCAACUAGAUGAUUAGAUUCUUCAUUAUGUGUCUUGUUUCCCUGCUUCUUUGGUUGCUUGAUAUUCUUUUAUUUUAUUUUUUGGGAUGGAGUUUCACUCUCGUUGCCCAGGCUGGAGUGCAAUGGUGUGAUCUCAGCUCACUGCAACCUCCACCUCCCAGGAUCUUAGUGCAACAUUGCUGUGCAAACUUGGACCAGGGCAGAGUGAGAUAGCAGAGGAGCUGUGCCAGCGUCUACAGCGAAAGGAAAGGAUGCUGCAGGACCUUCUAAGUGAUCGAAACAAACUAGUGGUGGAACAUGAAAUGGAGAUUCAAGGCCUGCUUCAGUCUAUGAGCACCAGGGAGCAGGAAAGCCAAUUUUUUAGGGUUCAAUGCAGAUACCUUCCAGAGAUGAUAGCACUUCACUGACUGCCAAAGAGGAUGCCAGCAUACCCAGAUCCACAUUAGUUGCUGCUGAUGCUAGAAGGACUAGUGGAUGAACGGAGUCGGCUCAAUGAGGCCUUACAAGCAGAGAGACAGCUGUAUAGCAGUCUGGUGAAGUUCCAUGCCCAUCCAGAGAGCUCUGAGAGAGACCGAACUCUGCAGGUGGAACUGGAAGGGGCUCAGGUGUUACGCAGUCGGCUAGAAGAAGUUCUUGGAAGAAGCUUGGACCGCUUAAACAGGCUGGAGACCCUGGCCGCCAUUGGAGGUGGGGAACUGGAAACUGUGCGAAUUCAUCACAAGCAUGCCUACUGAGCACUGGCAGGUCAGACUGCAGCCCAGGAUGGAAAACCUUGUUUGCACUAACCAGAAAGAUCCUUGUCUGACUUUGACAGAAUUAAAUGGUGACUUACUAAUGAUGGAACUUGUACAAGUAGCAUCAACUACAAAGUUAAACUCACUUUAGUCUACAUGGAUCUCACUGUACAUGCAUAUUCCUAAAUUGAAUGGUAGAGGUUGCAAAAUAUAUUUGCACAUUUUAAAUCAUUCUGUUUUAGUUUUUCCACUUUUAUUCAUUCUUAUCCCUAGCCCCUUCUCAUUCCCUCAUCCCUUCUGUGGGCCAAUAAAGUUUAUUCUUCCCCCACUUUCACAAUCCAUUUCAUAUGUUCCAUAUCAUAUCAUAAAUGCAUGUGUGUGUAUUAUUUUUGCCUUUCAGUCAACUCCUCUUUGAGUGAGAGCAUUUUUUAAAUCAAAAGAAUGCCCGUUUUAAGAUGAGAGAGUGGGAAGGAGAUUGAGAGUCUGUAAGAAUGACUUCGUAAAAGUGAUAUAAUCCUUAUCAGAAGGUAAUCAAAACCAGGAAAGUAGUCUUGUAAUAGUAGACUGCAAGUAUUAAGAAGGCCAAGUUAAAGAACAGAGGCAAAAGCUGUGAAAGUGAUCAUAGUAAACUUUUAUCUCCAGUACUGUCUCAGAGUUGACUGUUGUACACGAGUGAAAUUAGAUUAGGUACAGAUUAAAUUCUAUUUAAAAUUUGUUCUUUAUUGAUACCUUUAGGUUUCUUUAAACCAAAGUCAUGCUAUUUAGUCAGAACAUGACUUCUAGAAUGGUCUUCCAGAGUCAGAAUUCUUUGUCUACAAAGAUAAUUUCAAAUGUAGUAUCCCUCUUUACAUUCAGUGUUUCACCAAAUAACUCAUUAUAGCCAAAGGAGGGUAUUGCUUCUUCCAUUUGUGGCACUAGAUAGGGUCCUAAGUUUUUCACUAUUUAGUAUGUAUACAUUUCUCCAUAUAAAAAGAAGUAAUCAGCUUCAGGCUUUGAAGUGCUUGAAUAGUUUAAAAAGCAAUGUUACAGAUGUAUGUUUAUAGUUUUAAUCAUUGUCUCAAUGUUUUCUUGUGGCAACAUGACAGGUAUAAGGAGAGGGGCACUGGAGAUUGUACCUCUGAUGUCUUGACAGUCAAGAGUGUGAAAAGUAACCAAGAUUGCUUUGCAGCUUUGUGGGUUCAACAUCAUGAAUUUGUUUUUAUUUCCUCUAGUUUUAAGUUUCCUAGGUUAGGAGCUGAGGUUUCUGUUACUUUAAACAUGGAAUUGUGGAACAGCUUUGUAGCAUAAUAAAUGUGACCGAAUACCCUUUCUAAACUAA